AACGAACGCUGGCGGCAGGCUUAACACAUGCAAGUCGAACGGGUGUAGCAAUACAUCAGUGGCAGACGGGUGAGUAACACGUGGGAACCUUCCUAGGGGUACGGAACAACUCAGGGAAACUUGAGCUAAUACCGUAUACGUCCGUGAGGAGAAAGAUUUAUCGCCCUUAGACGGGCCCGCGUCGGAUUAGCUAGUCGGAGGGGUAACGGCCUACCAAGGCGACGAUCCGUAGCUGAUCUUAGAGGAUGAUCAGCCACACUGGGACUGAGACACGGCCCAGACUCCUACGGGAGGCAGCAGUGGGGAAUCUUGGACAAUGGGCGCAAGCCUGAUCCAGCCAUGCCGCGUGAGUGAAGAAGGUCUUCGGAUUGUAAAGCUCUUUUGCCAGGGACGAUAAUGACGGUACCUGGAGAAUAAGCCCCGGCAAACUUCGUGCCAGCCGCCGCGGUAAGAC
rnacentral:rRNA from 1 species